rnacentral:rRNA from 1 species
GCUUCUUUCCUCCCGAGUGCUUGCACUCAAUUGGAAAGAGGAGUGGCGGACGGGUGAGUAACACGUGGGUAACCUACCCAUCAGAGGGGGAUAACACUUGGAAACAGGUGCUAAUACCGCAUAACAGUUUAUGCCGCAUGGCAUAAGAGUGAAAGGCGCUUUCGGGUGUCGCUGAUGGAUGGACCCGCGGUGCAUUAGCUAGUUGGUGAGGUAACGGCUCACCAAGGCCACGAUGCAUAGCCGACCUGAGAGGGUGAUCGGCCACACUGGGACUGAGACACGGCCCAGACUCCUACGGGAGGCAGCAGUAGGGAAUCUUCGGCAAUGGACGAAAGUCUGACCGAGCAACGCCGCGUGAGUGAAGAAGGUUUUCGGAUCGUAAAACUCUGUUGUUAGAGAAGAACAAGGACGUUAGUAACUGAACGUCCCCUGACGGUAUCUAACCAGAAAGCCACGGCUAACUACGUGCCAGCAGCCGCGGUA